UACGGAGGGCGCUAGCGUUGUUCGGAAUCACUGGGCGUAAAGGGCGUGCAGGCGGUCUGUUAAGUCUGGCGUGAAAGCUCUCGGCUAAACCGGGAGAGGUCGUUGGAUACUGACGGACUAGAGGACGGUAGAGGCGUGUGGAAUUCCGGGUGUAGUGGUGAAAUGCGUAGAGAUCCGGAGGAACACCAGUGGCGAAGGCGACACGCUGGGCCGUACCUGACGCUAAGACGCGACAGCAUGGGGAGCGAACGGG
rnacentral:rRNA from 1 species